GCCUCGCUAGCUCAAUCGGUAGAGCGUGAGACUCUUACAGUAGCGAGGCAUCUCAAGGUUGCGGGUUCGACCCCCGCGUGGGGCU